UACGUAGGGUGCGAGCGUUGUCCGGAAUUAUUGGGCGUAAAGAGCUCGUAGGCGGCCUGUCGCGUCGGAUGUGAAAGCCCGGGGCUCAACCCCGGGUCUGCAUUCGAUACGGGCAGGCUGGAGUGUGGUAGGGGAGAGUGGAAUUCCUGGUGUAGCGGUGAAAUGCGCAGAUAUCAGGAAGAACACCCGUGGCUAAGGCGGCUCUCUAGUACGGUACUGACGCUGAGACGCGAAAGCGUGGGGAGCGAACAGG
rnacentral:rRNA from 1 species